rnacentral:lncRNA from 1 species
AUUCAUCUCGAGCUGCGCCGAGUCCGGCUCCUACUGGGGAGCUGCGGCAGUUUGUUACUCGAGGCCGCCCUUCAAGGCGGGCCCCGAAGGUCCGGCCUGGUGAAGAGUUGGUUUUGUCAGCAGUUUGGUCUCUCCAUGUUUGACAGCUUCCCUUUGCUCACCCAAUGUUGCAGUGUGGUCCAGAGAGCAGAGCCAGCCUUUUUGCUGUGGAUCCCAUCACCAUCCAUUGCUGAAGAAGAAGCAGGGCUCAGGACAAGCAUGUCAAACACACCUGACACUACAAAUCUACACUUUGCAACUGGCUCUCAUCACAUGCUGUCUUCUCACCCUUCUCCACUGAAAAAUAAAAGGAAAAUGUAUGAUGGCCAAGUAAAAAAUGACAGGAAAUCUUCUAGUCAAGCUUAAUAGUAUUUGCUAUGUUUAGCUUACAGAACUGAAAAAUACCUAUUAGUGUAAAGACAUUAAGAAAUGCACAGAAAGAUGAAAAUAAAACGAAACCCCAUCCCAAGAGAUCCCCUGCUUUUAGCAUUUUAUGGCAUACUUCUCUAAACUUUAAUAAAAUGUUUCAGUGAUUUAAAAGUGAAA